rnacentral:rRNA from 1 species
CCUGACUGCUAUCGGAUUGAUACUAAGCCAUGCGAGUCUUUGCAGUAAUGCAAGGCAUACGGCUCAGUAACACGUAGUCAACCUACCCUAUGGACGAGAAUAAUCUCGGGAAACUGAGCAUAAUUCUUGAUAGAUCAUAAUGCCUGGAAUGGUUUAUGGUUAAAAUGAUUCGUCGCCAUAGGAUGGGACUGCGGCCUAUCAGCUUGUUGGUGAGGUAAUGGCCCACCAAGGCGAUUACAGGUACGGGCUCUGAGAGGAGAAGCCCGGAGAUGGGUACUGAGACACGGACCCAGGCCCUAUGGGGCGCAGCAGGCGAGAAAACUUUGCAAUGUGCGAAAGCACGACAAGGUUAAUCCGAGUGAUUUCUGCUAAAGAAAUCUUUUGCCAGUCAUAAAACCACUGGUGAAUAAGGGGUGGGCAAGUUCUGGUGUCAGCCGCCGCGGUAAAACCAGCACCUCAAGUGGUCAGGAUGAUUAUUGGGCCUAAAGCAUCCGUAGCCGGCUUUGUAAGUUUUCGGUUAAAUCCAUGUGCUCAACGCAUGGGCUGCCGAAAAUACUGCAUGGCUAGGGAGUGGGAGAGGUAGACGGUACUCAGUAGGAAGGGGUAAAAUCCUUUGAUCUAUUGAUGACCACCUGUGGCGAAGGCGGUCUACCAGAACACGUUCGACGGUGAGGGAUGAAAGCUGGGGGAGCAAACCGGAUUAGAUACCCGGGUAGUCCCAGCUGUAAACGAUGCAGACUCGAUGAUGCAUUGGCAUAAUAGCCAGUGCAGUGUCGCAGGGAAGCCGUUAAGUCUGCCGCCUGGGAAGUACGUACGCAAGUAUGAAACUUAAAGGAUUGGCGGGGAGCACCACAAGGGUGAAGCCUGCGGUUCA